GAUGAACGCUGGCGGCAGGCCUAACACAUGCAAGUCGAGGGAUAAGCCUUGGGGCUAAGACCGGCGCACGGGGGCGUAACGCGUAUACAAUCAGCCUUUUAUCCUGGGUAUAGCCCGAAGAAAUUUGGAUUAAUACGCUACUGUAUAAGAGCACGGUAUCGUGCCGUUAUUAACGCUACGGCGGUAAAGGAUGAGUAUGCGUUCUAUUUGCUAGUGGGCGAGGUAACGGCGUUCCAAGGCGACGAUAGAUAGGGGUUCUGGGAGGGAUGUCCCCCACACUGGUACUGAGAUACGGACCAGACUCCUACGGGAGGCAGCAGUGAGGACUAUUGGACAAUGGUCGGAAGACUGAUCCAGCCACGCCGCGUGCAGGAUGACGGCCUUAUGGGUUGUAAACUGCUUUUGUAAGGGAAGAAUAAGAGGUACGUGUACUUUGAUGACGGUACCUAACGAAUAAGCAUCGGCUAACUCCGUG
rnacentral:rRNA from 1 species